UAUGGACGUGUUUGACAAAAAAACCAACCGAGUUGAGCGAUUGCGCCUCCCACCCCAUCUGGAUCCGCCAUGGGCCCACAUCCGGCGCCGCGCCGUCCUCCCCGCACACCGGCCUGCCUACUCUCCGUCGAACCCUCCUCCCAGCGCCAUCCGAGUCCUCCGCGCAUGACCCUGCCUCCAAUCCCCAUCUCCACCUCCUGCAGCGCUCCUCACCGUGCGUCGCCAUCGCCCCUGCCGCCGGCAACGACUAGAGCUUGCAGGGGCCAGAUCCAUGCGUGGAAGCGGCAGGGGAGGUUGAUCCUAAGCGGGCGGCGAGGCGGGGGUCACCGGAGAUGACGAGGAAGUAUGGAGCAAGGCAUCCGAUGACCUAGGCAGGAGCUCGCCAGAGUCGGGCGACAGCGGACGGGCACACAAGAUGAAGGGAUCCAGUGCGGUGGUGUGAAGUCCUUCCAGGUAGAUGUGGGCCUCCAUUGCUCGCAGGGAGAGCUCCAAGGUCGUGGCGGGGCUUAAGUUCCCCUGGUAUAGAAAAAAGAAACCAGAGAGGAAUGAGGGAGAAGAAGAAUGGGGGGAGAAGGACGGCUGGCCUUCUCGGCACAUGCCAUACGAUCUACAGGUUCGUAUCACACAAGGCAACCAUGGCAGUACAAUAAUCACAUGUGUGACAACAGUCAAACCUGGAUCAAGCAAUGUGCUUUACAUGACUUGAGAAGAUAAUCUCAACUGUUCCGCGAAGGGAAAUCAUUUGCAGUAUACAUUCUACAAAUAUACCUCGAGAUACAUUCAUCAUUGUGCAAUCAAGAAGUUGAAGGUUACCGGUCUGUCGAACAUUUGAUGCUUAUGUUUGUAUGAAGGCUGGUAUCUUGAUUCAACACUUAAUUAUGACUUUCUUGUAGUUUGAUACAAAGCAUUACUAUGUCGUUGAGAAACUUUAGGUUGAAGAGUCGCUGAGAAAGUUUUGGUUCAGGACCCCUCUGAAAAGUGGCCCAGAUGUUCCAUAUAGAUUUGGUGUGAUAGUUAUUGUCAAAUUUGCUCAGAAUAUAACUUGCAUGAUCAUGUCUGAAUUCCAACGUAAUUUUACUAUUGCAGUUUAUGAGUACUAUCACCUAGAAUUUUACUAUUGUGUUUAGGUGAUCUUGGUUAGAGUUUCAAAUCCAGUGUCACGCUCGCUCAUUACGAGUCCAAUUCAAAAGGCCAGGCAAUGCUUUUCUUCUAGGACCUAACAUAUGGAGAUAAUUACCCAUGUCAUGAUAAUACAAGGUGACAUAUGUGGGUAAGAUUUGUAGAGCGGAAUCUCGCAUACCAGCCUUGGAUCUCGACAGCUGGAAACCAUGAGAUUGGCUUUGCUCCUGAAUUUGGCGAAACAAAGUCAUUCAAGCCAUACAGUAGCAGGUAUCCCACACCCUAUAAGGCUUCCGGUAGCAAAACACCUUAGUGGUAUACAUAUGCUACCUCCCUGGUAGUGUCAAAUGACUUCAGACCAAUUCUUGUUAUGUAGAGGUGACAUUCAUCACCAUGAAGGGUCAAGAUGUUCCACAUCAAAGGUGUUUGCAGUUCUACAAGAGUUGAAGAAAGAAGAGGAUUUGGUGUUGUUAGUACUGCCUGAGAAGUGUCAAACUUGCCAAAGAAGGCAUGUCAAUUUUUUUCUUUGUGUUCUGAUGCCUAUAAAUAAACCCAAGAAUGUGAAAAGUGUUGGAGAACAUUUAACAAAAGCUAACCAGACUCAUGUCAGAAAACUAUUAUGGUAAAGAUAAAAUGUACUGUCUUUUAGAGAACUAUAUAACAAACUCGUUUACUAUGGUAGAAAAACGUAGUCUCAAUCUUGUACCUUUACCAAUAAACAUGGGAUAUGCUAGGAAAAAAUAGCACAUGAUAAAAGCACAUACUUCAAAUGAAUGAUCAUGUCUUCUUUCUAUAAAGGAGAACUCUUACCAUAUUGUGAUUGACUACAAGAAUUUUACUUCGUUAAUUUGUUUUCUGUUAGGCGGAAAAUAUGUUGUUGACAGGAAUUCAAAAAAACUUGAGGUGGUAGCAAAUGGGAAGCAGCUGAAUUUCUUUUGUCAAUUGUCAUACAGUUCAGGUAGUUAUUCGAGGUAUCAUCUUUUUAUAUAGAGGUACCUUCUGAACUGAACUUUGAACACUUGCAUGUAGCUUCUGAACUGAAUUUUAAGGGCAUGCACGCAACAUCAUUUCAAGCAUGGGGUUGACUUGGGGCAUCACACCAGUGAGGUCAGAGAUGACGGUUCAAGGCGAAAGCCGUCGACAAUGGCCAGGACGACAGCAAAAAACCAACACGACUUUCUCCCACAUGCAAGUGUUGAAUCAGUCGUUUGAAAUUUUGGUGUGACAUUUCUAUGCCCACUACGUGCCCGGGUGCAGCCGCCACUCCAUGCGUGCCGCAACGUCAGCCACCACCAACCCUCUUGUUUUUGCAUUGUUGCCACCACCGGCGUGGUAGCCCGUGCAGCCACCUCAUCAUGCAAGGAAACUGAAACCUCAGCCACCCAUGCCAUGUCCCUCGUGCGACGCGGGAUAUGCCUCAACGGGCGUGGAAACCGGAAACUCAGCAUCCAUUUCACAUGCAUCGGCAUGCACUCGAGUGUCCAGUGAGAACGAUGCAUUUUCCCAAUGGGACAUCUUUCCUCGGAAAAAUUUAUGUUCUUACAAGGAUAGUUUACAAGAUCGCGGUACUAUCAUAAUGGCUACUGGUAAAAUUGUUUUCAGUAGCCAUGGCAACGUCAGGUGAUCCUCCUUAUGAGCGGAACCACCAUGAUAAACAAAAGGGUCAAUAGAAUUCAGAAAGUUGCAGUUUA